rnacentral:siRNA from 1 species
GAAUUCGGCUAAACCAUCAAAGC